rnacentral:rRNA from 1 species
ACCUCGGAUCAGGUAGGGAUACCCGCUGAACUUAAGCAUAUCAAUAAGCGGAGGAAAAGAAACCAACAGGGAUUGCCCCAGUAACGGCGAGUGAAGCGGCAAGAGCUCAUAUUUGAUAUCUGGCCUCCCCCGGGGGUCCGAGUUGUAAUUUGCAGAGGAUGCUUCGGGCGCGGCCCCCGUCUAAGUUCCUUGGAACAGGACGUCAGAGAGGGUGAGAAUCCCGUCUUGGGCGGGCGGCCCGCGCCCGUGUGAAGCUCCUUCGACGAGUCGAGUUUUUGGGGAAAAGACAGAG